GCUGGAUUAGCUCAGUAGGUCAGAGCGCCGUUCUGAUAAAGCGGAGGUCCGUAGUUCAAGUCUACGAUUCAGCAC
rnacentral:tRNA from 1 species